AGCGAACGCUAGCGGCGGGCCUAACACAUGCAAGUCGAGCGGGGGAGCAAUCCCCAGCGGCGGACGGGUGAGUAACACGUAGGUUAUGUGCCCUUUGGUGGGGAAUAACCGUGGGAAACCAUGGCUAAUUCCGCAUAUCGAGCGAAAUCUUGAAAGCCUUCGGGCGCCAAAAGGAGCAACCUGCGGCCCAUUAGCUUGUUGGUAGGGUAACGGCCUACCAAGGCGAUGAUGGGUAGCUGGUCUGAGAGGAUGAUCAGCCACACUGGAACUGAGACACGGUCCAGACUCCUACGGGAGGCAGCAGUGGGAAUAUUGCGCAAUGGGCGAAAGCCUGACGCAGCCACGCCGCGUGAGUGAUGAAGGCCUUUGGGUCGUAAAACUCUGUCGGGAGGGACGAAGGGGCAAACCCUGACGGUACCUCGCAAGAAAGCACCGGCUAAACUCUGUGCCAGCAGCCGCGG
rnacentral:rRNA from 1 species